AUUUUAUUUAUACUGUGUUCUAGCAGAACCCAUUCUCCGCCAAACAGAUUCUCCAGGCGUGGGGUUGCAAUACUUAGAGUACGCAAAUGGAAAAGUGAAUGAGGAUUCCCCCAAUCCUAUUAUGAUAAUUGAUGAAAUGAAUACCCUAGGCCCCCACCCUUUCCCCAAACACCCUGUCCCCAAAAUACACCUUUAAGCUUAGGACUCUUCCUUACUGGGUCCCACAUUAGCUAUUCACCGUGAUGAC
rnacentral:lncRNA from 1 species